rnacentral:misc_RNA from 1 species
AGACAAACGUCGCGCAGAACUUUUUGUUCGAUGCAAUAACGUUCGCUCGUAAACGAGGCGCCUUCUAUUGCGCUAGUAUCGUUAGAGGAGGUUUAAUUUUCCACUCGCUUUUCAUACGCCCCUUUGAGGGUCUGUUUUACAUUCUUCAUAACCCCGCAGCAGCGUCGAAAACAGGUGGUGGGGCUAGGAUAGUGACCAUGUCAAGUACAUUCCCACUUCAGCACUUCUACAGGACACUGCGCAGUUUGGAGCAGAGCGGGCUCGAAGGAAAGAAUAUCUCUGUGAUGAAAAAAGGUCUGAAAAUGACAGUGCUGCUGUGGACUUUUGUUGGAAGCCUCUUCUUCGUUCCCGCAUUGAAGACAAUGGCUGAAGCGCGAGGGAUGACAACACCGGG